UCUGAACAGCAUGCCGCGUGCAGGAAGACUGCCCUAUGGGUUGUAAACUGCUUUUAUCCGGGAAUAAACCACAUUACGUGUAAUGUGCUGAAUGUACCGGAAGAAUAAGGAUCGGCUAACUCCGUGCCAGCAGCCGCGGUAAUACGGAGGAUCCAAGCGUUAUCCGGAUUUAUUGGGUUUAAAGGGUGCGUAGGCGGCCUGUUAAGUCAGGGGUGAAAGACGGUAGCUCAACUAUCGCAGUGCCCUUGAUACUGAUGGGCUUGAAUGGACUAGAGGUAGGCGGAAUGAGACAAGUAGCGGUGAAAUGCAUAGAUAUGUCUCAGAACACCGAUUGCGAAGGCAGCUUACUAUGGUCUUAUUGACGCUGAGGCACGAAAGCGUGGGGAUCAAACAGGAUUAGAUACCCUGGUAGUCCACGCCCUAAACGAUGAACACUCGCUGUUGGCGAUACACAGUCAGCGGCUAAGCGAAAGCGUUAAGUGUUCCACCUGGGGAGUACGCUCGCAAGAGUGAAACUCAAAGAAAUUUGACGG
rnacentral:rRNA from 1 species